AGUGGCGCACGGGUGAGUAACGCGUGGGUAAUCUACCCCCGAAUCUGGAAUAACUCCGCGAAAGCGGGGCUAAUACCGGAUGACAUCCGCGGGUCUUCGGACCUUCGGAUCAAAGACGGCCUCUUCACGAAAGCCGUCGUUUGGGGAUGAGCCCGCGUACCAUUAGCUUGUUGGCGGGGUAACGGCCCACCAAGGCCACGAUGGUUAGCUGGUCUGAGAGGAUGAUCAGCCACACUGGAACUGACACACGGUCCAGACUCCUACGGGAGGCAGCAGUGAGGAAUUUUGCGCAAUGGGGGAAACCCUGACGCAGCAACGCCGCGUGAGUGACGAAGGCCCUCGGGUCGUAAAGCUCUGUCGGGCGGGAAGAAACCGUUCCGGGUCAACAUCCCGGAGCGCUGACGGUACCGCCGGAGGAAGCACCGGCUAACUCCGUGCCAGCAGCCGCGGUAAUACGGAGGGUGCAAGCGUUAUUCGGAAUUAUUGGGCGUAAAGAGCGCGUAGGCGGCCGAGUAGGUCAGAUGUGAAAUCCCGGGGCUCAACCCCGGAAGUGCAUUUGAUACCGCUUGGCUUGAGUAUGGGAGAGGGAAGCGGAAUUCCUGGUGUAGCGGUGAAAUGCGUAGAUAUCAGGAGGAACACCGGUGGCGAAGGCGGCUUCCUGGACCAAUACUGACGCUGAGGCGCGAAGGCGUGGGGAGCAAACAGGAUUAGAUACCCU
rnacentral:rRNA from 1 species